rnacentral:rRNA from 1 species
GACGAACGCUGGCGGCGUGCUUAACACAUGCAAGUCGAACGGUGAAGCGCCUUCCUUUUUGGUGGGUGUGGAUGAGUGGCGAACGGGUGAGUAACACGUGAGUAACCUGCCCCCUUCUUCUGGAUAACCGCAUGAAAGUGUGGCUAAUACGAGAUAUUCUGGGUCUGUCGCAUGAUGGGUCUGGGAAAGAUGUUGUGUCGGUGGGGGAGGGGCUCGGGGCCUAUCAGCUGGUUGGGGGGGUGAUGGCCUACCAAGGCGGGGAGGGGUCGCCGGCCUGAGAGGGUGGACGGUCACACAGGGUCUGAGACACGGUCGAGACUCCUACGGGAGGCAGCCGUGGGGAAUAUUGAACAGUGGGCGAAAGCCUGAUGCGGCGGCGCGGCGUGAGCGAUGGCGGCCUUCGGGUUGUGAACCUCUUUCGCCAGUGAAGCAGGCCUGCCUCGUUUGUGGGUGGGUUGACGGUAGCUGGAGAAGAAGCGCCGGCUAACUACGUG